GUGGAUGUAGCUCAGUUGGCAGAGCAUCGGGUUGUGGUCCCGAGGGCCGCGGGUUCAAGUCCCGUCAUCCACC
rnacentral:tRNA from 1 species